UACGUAGGGGGCAAGCGUUAUCCGGAUUUACUGGGUGUAAAGGGAGCGCAGACGGCCAUGCAAGUCUGAAGUGAAAUGCCGCAGCUCAACUGCGGAAUUGCUUUGGAAACUGUGCGGCUAGAGUGUCGGAGGGGUAAGCGGAAUUCCUAGUGUAGCGGUGAAAUGCGUAGAUAUUAGGAAGAACACCGGUGGCGAAGGCGGCUUACUGGACGAUGACUGACGUUGAGGCUCGAAAGCGUGGGGAGCAAAC
rnacentral:rRNA from 1 species